AGUAUCUCUGAAUUACGUCUAGAUUUUUAUUAAGGGCCUGGCUGUGCUAUAAUACAUCCCACUGUUCUAAGAGCUUCCUCUGCCACGGGACAGGCAUUGCCUGUCCUCCAGGAAAGUGAAGCAUCAGACGACUUGGAAGCCAACAGAUACAAGAAGAGCCAGACAGCAGAGCCAAUAUUGAACAAGGACAAAGAUGACUGGUAUCUGAAUUCCACUAAAUGUAUAGUUCAGAUCUUUCUUCAUGCUUAGCAUUUGGUAUUUCCAAUAACUUGAACCAACAGAGAUGCUAGUAACAGAUGCAUGGACACCUUUUACUAACUUUCAUAUGCCCUAGAAACAUACUAUUCCAUGUUAGAAGGAUAGAAAUCCAAAGAAUUCUUAUCUUUAUUCCCUAACAUUGCCUAUCUCCAGCAAUACUGCUGGUCAGUCCUAUGUGUUUCCUAACAUGCCCAAAUCAAAGCCAAAUGAAAUGUUUUCUCCAGACUUUCUUACUCCUAAUUUUAGAAAUAAAAAAUAUAUUUCUGAGAUUUCAGUUUCUGUUAAUGGUGGAAUAAAUAGCUUGAUCAUUUACAGGUAAUAAUGAUGAAAUCUGGACAAUUUGAAAGUAUUGGAGAAUAACCAAAAGCAGGAAGAAACUGAAUAAAUCUAACCUUGAAAGACGUUGGGUGACAUUUGUUUAUAGAUUUGUGCCUGAGGGCAUUCUCCAAUCUUGGGUCAAGUACCCAAACCAAAGGUGUCAGAGGAUGGAGUUUGAAGCCAAUAGAACACCUGGAAAAUGAGAGGGAAAAAUCUAGUAAAGGAAUGACUAUACAUCUGAAGAAAUAGGAAAAUGUGAUACUUAAGGGAAAAAAAGUCAAUAGAAACAGACUCUGAGAUGACCCAGAUGUCACAAUUAGCAGACGUUGACUUUAAAACAGCUUUUAUAAAUAUGUUCAAAGACUUAAAGGAAGAUAUGCACACAUUGAAUUCACAUAGUGGGAAAUUUCAGCUGAGAAAUAGGAACUAUAAAAAAGACCAAAUGGAAAUUCCAAAGCUGCAAGCAUGAUAACUGGAAUGGACAAUUUACUGGAUGGGCUUAACAGCAGAUUGGAGACAACAGAAGAGAGGCAAUGAACAGGAAGAUCAAUAGAAAUUAUCCAAUCUGAAGAACAGAAAAAAAAGAAUGAAAGAAAACACAUAUCUUGGGUGAAGGCAGGAAAUAAAAGUAGGGCAGAAUUAAAGUGAAUGCUCAGUGCUAAUAAAUUCUAGCAAUUAAUUUUUCAAAGAAAAAAAUUGAAAAAUAAAUAAAACCUGGAUUUUGAAUGUCUAAUCCUUGUAGUGUUUCUUCCAAGGGUGGGACAGGACGUAUUAUCUGAUUUCUAAGCAUUAUUUUUGUUGGUCUUCAUAAGGCCGUUUCUCUCAAGUGGCUGUAAGCCUCUUAGCUUUCAGUCUUCUUCUUUUUCUCCCUCAUUCCUUCCAGGGGCUAAUGGCCUUUUCCUUCUGUGUGCUGUGUUCAGGCGCCAGUUAAUGAUGGAAUGGGAGACAACUUCUGACAGUGGACUAAGGCAAAGGAAGCAUGUGGGAUGGUCGUCAUAUACAGUUCCAUUUUUAAGUGGUUUGCCUUGUGAUGCAUUCUCCUGUUGUAUUCCAGUUUCACUGUAAUUUUUGAGUUCUUGAUAUUUCCAAUCAUAGUGAAUCAUUUAGUUAUUUUUAAGCACCAAUCUUAAGAAUCUGAAUACAAAAUACCGAAUGAUAUUUCAAAAUAAGCACAUUCUAAUUAUUGAUCUCUCUAGACACAG